UACGAAGGGGGCUAGCGUUGCUCGGAAUUACUGGGCGUAAAGGGUGCGUAGGCGGGUCUUUAAGUCAGGGGUGAAAUCCUGGAGCUCAACUCCAGAACUGCCUUUGAUACUGAAGAUCUUGAGUUCGGGAGAGGUGAGUGGAACUGCGAGUGUAGAGGUGAAAUUCGUAGAUAUUCGCAAGAACACCAGUGGCGAAGGCGGCUCACUGGCCCGAUACUGACGCUGAUGCACGAAAGCGUGGGGAGCAAACAGG
rnacentral:rRNA from 1 species